UGGGGAAUAUUGCACAAUGGGCGCAAGCCUGAUGCAGCCAUGCCGCGUGUGUGAAGAAGGCCUUCGGUUGUAAAGCACUUCAGCGAGGAGGAAGGUGGUGAGCUUAAUACGCUCAUCAAUUGACGUUACUCGCAGAAGAAGCACCGGCUAACUCCGUGCCAGCAGCCGCGGUAAUACGGAGGGUGCAAGUGUUAAUCGGAAUUACUGGCGUAAAGCGCACGCAGGCGGUUUGUUAAGUCAGAUGUGAAUCCCGCGUCAACCUGGGAACUGCAUUUGAAACUGGCAAGCUAGAGUCUCGUAGAGGGGGUGAGAAUUGAUCCCAGGUGUAGCGGUGAAAUGCGUAGAGAUCUGGAGGAAUACCGGUGGCGAAGGCGGCCCCCUGCAGCGAAGACUGACGCUCAGGUGCGAAAAGGCGUGGGGCAGCAAACAGGAUUAGAUACCCUGGUAGUCCACGCUGU
rnacentral:rRNA from 1 species